rnacentral:rRNA from 1 species
ACGGCAUCGCUGGGUAGCUAAGUUCGGAAGGGAUAACCGCUGAAAGCAUCUAAGCGGGAAGCCCACCUCAAGAUGAGAUAUCCCUCUUGAUGGAGACAUCAAGACUGAAGACCCCUUAUAGACGAUAAGGUUGAUAGGUCAGGUGUGUAAGCACAGUGAUGUGUUGAGCUAACUGAUACUAAUCGGUCGUGAGGCUUGACCAUA